rnacentral:rRNA from 1 species
GCCUAAUACAUGCAAGUCGAACGAACGGAGGAAGAGCUUGCUCUUCCAAAGUUAGUGGCGGACGGGUGAGUAACACGUGGGCAACCUGCCUGUAAGUUGGGGAUAACUCCGGGAAACCGGGGCUAAUACCGAAUGAUAGAAUGUGGCGCAUGCCACGCUUUUGAAAGAUGGUUUCGGCUAUCGCUUACAGAUGGGCCCGCGGUGCAUUAGCUAGUUGGUAGGGUAAUGGCCUACCAAGGCAACGAUGCAUAGCCGACCUGAGAGGGUGAUCGGCCACAC